rnacentral:rRNA from 1 species
GUCCUAGCUGUAAACGGUGCACAUUUGCUGUAAAAGGAAUCGACCCCUUUUGUGGCGAAGCUAACGCGAUAAAUGUGCCGCCUGGGAAGUACAGUCGCAAGAUUAAAACUCAAAGAAAUUGACGGGGGCCUGCACAAGCGGUGGAGUAUGUGGCUUAAUUCGAUGCAACGCGAAGAACCUUACCUGGCCUUGACAUGUAUAUAGUAGGAGCAUGAAAGGGCAACGAGGUAGCAAUACCAGUGUACACAGGUGCUGCAUGGCUGUCGU